GUGUUUUUGUUGUUGCAGUACGACAUCGCCGAGAAGGCCGUCGCCGCAGUCAAGGCCGUCGCUGGCAAGGACUUCGAUUUCGGAAAUAUCGCAGAAGCCAUUUACAUUGCCUCGGGCAGCACCAUCGACUACGUGUACAGCAAGUGCGUGCCGUUCCCCUUCGUGUUCGAGCUGCGCGACAACGGCAUCUACGGCUUCCUGCUGCCCGAGGACCAGAUCGUGGACGGCGCCAGGGAGGCCUGGGCCGGCGUCAGGGUCAUCGCGGAGGAGGCUUUCAAGGACGGCGUGCCCGCCAGCAACCCCGCCACCUGCCCGUCGCUCUGAGUCCGCGACAUCGGAACGGAUUUUUGGGAACUGGGGGAGCAUGUGCAUCGAAUCGUCUGAAAUAUAAAGUUCUGUCUGGAUC